UGGAUUUCAUCGUGGUUGUCGUGGAUUUCAUCGUGGCUGUCGUGGAUUACAUCGUGGCUGUCGUGGAUUACAUCGUGGCUGUCGUGGAUUACAUCGUGGCUGUCGUGGAUUACGUCAUGGUUGUCGUGGAUUACAUCGUGGCUGUCGUGGAUUACGUCAUGGUUGUCGUGGAUUACAUCGUGGCUGUCGUGGAUUUCAUCGUGGUUGUCGUGGAUUACAUCGUGGCUGUCGUGGAUUACGUCGUGGCUGUCGUGGAUUACGUCAUGGUUGUCGUGGAUUACAUCGUGGCUGUCGUGGAUUACGUCAUGGUUGUCGUGGAUUACAUCGUGGCUGUCGUGGAUUUUGUCAAACUAAUAUUGGGCUAAGGAUUACGUUAAUCUAUGAAUGAAGAACGACGACGAGCAAUGGUGUGAUAAUCAAACGUUAACUUACCGUUCAUAAACUUUGUUGUUUCACUUCAAAAUCUAUUUGACAUUGUGCCACACGAGUUAAAAAACACACGAUAAUUUCAUGGUGGUUUGUUGAAUUAUGAUAUGUAUCAAGAUUUGAGUAAAGCUGUAUGAGGGAAUCACAAAAGUUAUCAACAGAAUAAAUCCUAACACUACGUGGAAAAUAAAUAUAGUAAUUUCCACUUCAUCAACAAACAUUACGCUUCAUUUGUUGAUUGUCAGAGUAUGUUUCAUCCUAUGAACAAAACCACCUUACACAACACUGCUGGAAGUUUUGAAGAGGCAGUUGGUGCUCAUGACGAUCAAUCUAUAGUGAAAGAAGAAUGCAAUGGUGGCACAUUGUGAUUCAUACAUGGCAUCAUUGUAUCAUGUAUGUCGUGGGUC